UUGCUUUCUGGGCUGAUGAAAAUAAAUAGCAUCAUUUUAAAAUUUUUAAUACAAGCAAGUGUUCAAACUUGCAAGAUGCUUGAAAACACAGAGUUGCACGCAACAAUGAACUAAAUUGCACUGUCAGGCACACACAGAAGACAGAUAUGCUCUCAGUCUACAAACAGGGUUUCAGAGGAUGGGCCCCAGUUCUUCAGUAGAGCUUCUUUUGAACUUGAAAUGACUCUAUUGAACACAAAUGCAAACAAGCACUGCAAUGAUCUUAGUCUUGUUUAUAGAUGUCCCACAGCUGGUCACUAUAUCUAUGAUACAGUUGGGGAAAGAAUUAUAGUGUAAGUUAGCAGGAGCCAAGCCAGCUUUAAGGAAGCUUACUCUGUCGUUGAUAAUCAAGUUCAAGUAGCACUAAAUUCAGUGCAGCUUAUUUUCACAGGUCCAAAGUUAGUUCUUGGGAAGACACAAGCUACUGUAGCCAGACUGUUACAAUACAGGUAUUGAAUCAGAAUAAUUUUCAGUCUAUUUAUACCUAAGGACAAUAAUUUCUAUGUCCAGUGCCAAGGUACCUUUGAAUACCAGCCAGCAGUUUUACCCAUGCCCAGCUUUACAGACACUGAGCCCGAAGACCAGCUUUACACAGUAAAAGCAUACUGCUUUAACCACAACUGAGGUUUACACUUCUUUUAUGUAGGUCAUAUCAUUUUAAUAAUGGCAGAGGCAGUGUUACAUACAGCUGCUUUUCAGGACAGGAAGCAAAAAGAAAAAACACCCAGCUGAAGUGAUAAAACAAUAAUCCCAGGAAUCUUUCUGACUUCAUGCUAUUCUUACUAACAGAUACUCCUUUAAUAGUGAUGAGUUAAUGAUAUCAAGCCCUGUGUGAUCUGACAUGCAGCAUGUGAGAUGACAGUAUUCAGACAGAAAUACUCUAACUCUGUCAAGCUAGCUGGCUCCUAUUAUAGGAUGGAUGUUAAACCAUGCUGCUGAACAAGCUUUGGCAGCUAUCAUGCGAGCUUCUGAAGUGAAUGAAUCACAGCAGUAACAGAUGAUUGAACAGGGGUAUAUACAGUGUGACUCCUUAAUUUCUUUCACAGGUUCACACUUCAAAUCAAUUGCAGCAAAGCUCAGAUUGUACGACACUGAAAACUGAGUUCUGCUCCUUUAAAAAAACACCCAACCUGGCCUUCUGGGAAAACAACAAAACUGUAGAUGGAAGAAUCUGCGUAUUUCCAGGUAGAAAUACAUGUUGGUGUUUUAUUUUGACUCUGGAGUAGCUAGUUGCAUAUCUACAUAUGAAAAAGAUGGUGUCAGAUUGUCUUCUAGAUAUUAAAUGCAGGUAUUGCUCGUGUUUUGCUCUUAAUUGCAUUGCAGAAGAGCAUUUCUAAUCUGUGACUGAGAAAAAAUGAAAAUUCUAUCUUCAGCAUAUUUUACUAGAUUUAGACUAACUAUAGCUAACAGGCUGCUUUCCAGUGUCUACUGCUGAAAGAGGGUCUAUGUCUAAUUAAAUUUGCUUUUAUUUUUAAACAGAUUUUAGUGGAAUUAAAAAAAAAUAUUGGAAGGAAAAACUAAAUCUGCAAAGCUGUUUUUUUCGACAAUUUCAUUUUUGCACAUAGUUCACAGUGAAGAACCCUCCAAUUACUAUGUUUCAUUAACUGUGUUAAAAAAAGAGCAAGUUGUGCCUUAUUCUGCUUAACAUUCAUAGCAUGAAAUAGAAGUUUGGCCUUUUGAGAGGUACUGGGAGAAAAAGUUUCGAAUAUGUUCUUGUAACAUAUUUAAUUACCUACAUGGACCUAAUCUUUCUUUUUCCUCAUUAGUAUUUUUUUGUAUAUAGAAAACAGCUGUAGAAUUCACAAAUGGCAAAAGCACAGCUGCAUGUACAAUCCAGUCUGAUAUGUGUGAUGAAAUGAGGAGAAAGGGGUAACAGAAUCUAUGCCCCAGGAAUAGAUAGAAAUUUAACGGGUAUUUGCAGUAGAAAUUAAAAAAAAACCUAUCUGAAAGACCUGUUUUUGGUACUAGGAUGCUAUUGCCAUCUCUUAAAUUUUUAUUGCAAGUUCUAGGACUGCCAGUGUAAUAAAAAGCAUGCUGCUGGAAUAAAAAACGAUUCCUAAGCAAACACAGUAUCUAGUAAAAAUACAAACCCACAGGGUUGCUGAAAAAAAGAAGAAAAUUUAUCCUAAAACUUCAGAAAACAGAAGUUAAUCCGAAAUUAUUGUCUACUUUGACAGUUGCUCAGGUGUUUUUUUUUUUAAGCCUAGAAUUUUGGGAUCAUCAUUUUGCCACAUCAGAGAAUAAAAUCCAUUAACAUUACUAAUAUUUCAACUCAAUUUUCUGACAGAUGAAGACAUCAUUUCUUUUUAUAUUUAUUUUAAUUUUGUGCCUUCUUCUGUUCCAGUGGUGGAAACCAGAGUGAACAAUUUCAUUUAUCAAUUUCCAUGCACCUGUGUAAUGCUGAUAUGUUUAGACUCACAAACUGGCAGUGAGGGAGUCUUUAAAAGAUAUUCCUUAAAAGAAGUCAAAAAUAAUUAAAAUAAUUUUGUGCAUAUCAAUUUUCGUAAGACUUCUGUAACUUCUUUAAAUUUUGCCUUUGCUAAAUAUUAUCUCGACAUAGGCUCUGACAGUCUUAAUGUUAUCUGCUGUCUCCUGUACUAUCGGCUCCAUAUACUCCUGCAACUCUUUUCCUUUCCUUCCAAGUUCCCUGUAGGCCGUUCAUAAACCUCUCCUCUUACAAUAGGAGCUGUGUUGCUCAUUAUGGCCUACUGCGGACAAAGAAGUGCCAUUGUAUCUAACACACAGCCUUGCUUUUCUUGGCCAGUCAUCUGUAGUUUUAGCCUAUUCUGUAUGGUAUACCACAAGAAUGUGAUGCAACCCAAUAUGCUGGGUUGCCCUAAACGGAAAGGGGAAGAGGCAUGUGGGAAAGUUUAUUCUGGACCUCCUUGUCUGGGAGCUGCAGUGAACCCCAGUUUGCUUCAGUAAAUCAUCUUAAUAUUUACAGUAAGUAGUGGAGGUGAGCAGUCCCCAUUUUUACCUUUGCCAAGCCCCCCCCGGCUGUCUACACAUCCACACCAUUGUGCCAUCACAUCUGUGGCAAAAGGCAAUAUCAUAUAUUUUUUUUUUUCCUAGUUAAUGAAAACUCGGUGCUCGUAACAUAACUACACUGAUUGUUUUGACUGAAGAAGCAAAGAAGCUGAAAAAUUUUGCUGUGAUUGCUAAAGACUUCUUUGCCCUGCAAACAGCUGAAGAGGUGGUGUCAGACGAUAAUCCAUAGCAUAGCCAAAAAUAAUGCUAGAAGCCAUCGCUAUGCACUUAUUUCAUCAACGACAUUGAGCCUUUGUUAUUUGCAAUCAUACUGAAAAAAGAGCAUACUGUGAAAUAAGCAGCUUUGCUUUAGAUUUAGAGAAUUUAUGUUUUUAUGGAGACUACAAGUAAUUCAUCAGGUUGCCACUUCAGAAUUUCUGAUGUUGGCUUUCUUCAUCUAUAAUUUCUAGGUUUUGUUCACCAUGACAGAUCAGUAGGGAUGUAGUUUGUGUAACUGCCUUUAGAACUGCUUUUUGGUUUGGGGCUCAAGUAUUUCACCAAAAAUCAUCAACAUGUUAAAUACUGCUUUUUUCCAUUACAUGAUGUAAUCUGAAGUAAUUAUUCUGCACGUAAAUGCUGAAUGUCUUGAUUUUUAAAUGUCAUGUCCAUCAGGGUCAUGAUGAUCUGGGUAUUUUUCUUGACCUAUAGAGAACAGGGAACUGGCUUCCUGCAUAAUGUUCUUCAUCUGGUCCCACAUUUUGAUGCAUGUAUUUGUUAACAUGAUACAUGUAUAGUAGAAGUAUCUCCUGCAUUUCAGCUUUUUUUUUUUUUUUAAUCCCUGUAUUUCAAAAGGCCUGUUAAAAUCAAUUUGUAGAAACUUUGUUUCUUAAACUUCAGUAGAUACACAGACAACUUUGUAUUGUGAACAGUGACUUUACAACUGAACUUUAGUAUCAGGCUAGAAAACUGCGUAAUUUCUUGUACAGUUGAUUUAAUGAAGGAACUGUGCAUAAAGCAGAAUCUGGCACUGAUUCCAGCCCAAGUUCAAACUUCAAUCUUCAGAACCGACACACGCUGUACACACACCACCGAUGCCAGCGUUUGCUGCCGUACUUCCAGCCCUGCAGAACAAAAGAUGAGGCUCUCUCACCAACCGUAACAAUUAAAUAACUCAAUGGCACUUUUCUGCCUUUGCAGGGCGUUAUCGCUGGCAUUCCAGCCAAGCUGUAGUUCGGGAAAUUACAUUUUUCCCCCCUGUAUUUCCAAAUGGGUAAUAACCAGUGCCUGAUAACCAGUGCUGCGGGAGGCAUUAGAAAGACGAGGCUUAUCAAACGAAACACGUUGGUCUGUAAGCAGCACCACAGAUGACGCUGUUCCCCCCCGCCCCGUGCCCGCAGAGCCGUGAGCGCCCCUCACCGCUGCCCCGUGCCCCCCGGGGGACCAGGCGCUGCCGCCUCCGGACGCGCUGGCUGCCGCUCCAGGGGGCUGCGGGGCGCUGGUACCCGCCCAGCUAAACCGCCACCCUCCCGGCAAUUCGGUGUUUAAUUCCAUCCCUGGCUGCUAGCGGGGUGGCAACGUGCAAGUUUUGAGUCGGCGGCGCCCGUAGCGAGCGGCACCCGGUAACGGCAGCAGCUCUGCCGCGGCGGGGCGGCAGCCAGGCGCCAGCUGGCGGAGCGGCAGCUCCCGCCGCGCCUCCAGGGCCGCCCGGCGCCGGAGCACACGCGGCCCCUCCCGGGAGCGGCGGGGGAACACCCCCGGCCUCCCGAGCGCGGAACGCCGCUGCCUGCCAGCCCGCACGGUCCCGGCCCCGCCGACGGCGUGAGGGGCAGGCACCCCCCCGGCGGGGGCAGCGGGCAGCGGCCGCCCCCGCCCCGUGCCUCUCCCCGCCCGGCGGCGGCGGAGCGAGCGCCUCUGGCCCGGCCGGUCCCUCCUCGCACGCCGUAGUGAUGCUCCCGGCGUCUCGGCCCGCCGAGGCUGUUCCCAAGAUGGCGGCCGCGCGGGCGGCUCUGCGCGGCCGGGCUCCUGCAGCUGGGUAGAGACCCCCCACCCCCCUCCAGCUCUCCCCUGCUCCUCGCUACACCCCCGGCGCUGCAGCGGGCCAGGCCGGGCCGCGCACUGGGACCCGUCGCCAUGCCGGCCUCGGUGCACGCAUGAGAGACGUCGCCGCGCUGGUCUCUGCCGCCGCCGCCAUGGAGGAGCUGCCGCCGCCGCCGGGGAGGAAAGAGUGCAAAUCAGAAGAUGCUACUUGCAAGAUCUCUGUAUCUGACCCUGAGGAAUUAUCAGAUGAAGCAAGUGCUGACACCUUCUAUGGAACUUCCCCUCCUAGUACACCCCGCCAGAUGAAGCGUAUGUCAACAAAGCAUCAGAAAAAUAACGUUGGGAGACCUGCUAGCCGCUCUACUUUGAAAGAAAAGAUGAGUGUGCCAACUCAGACUGUGCAUAAAGACAAUGGGAAAACCAUCGAGAAUGUGGAGGAGCACAGCUAUAAGCAAGGGAAAAAGAUUCGAGAUACCCUAAGGACAACAGAACGAGAUCACAAGAAAAACGUGCAGUGCUCAUUUAUGUUAGACUCAGUUGGUGGGUCUUUGCCAAAAAAACCAAUUCCAGACAUUGAUCUCAAUAAGCCUUACCUCAGCCUUGGCUGUAGCAAUGCUAAGCUUCCAGUCUCUGUGCCCAUGCCAAUACCCAGAACUGCACGCCAGACUUCUAGGACUGAUUGUCCAGCAGACCGCUUAAAAUUCUUUGAAACCCUGCGGCUUUUGUUAAAACUUACCUCAGUCUCAAAGAAAAAGGACAGGGAGCAAAGAGGACAGGAAAACACUUCUUCUGUCUGGCUGAACCGAUCCAAUGAACUGAUCUGGCUAGAGCUGCAAGCUUGGCAUGCUGGCCGGAGCAUUAAUGACCAAGACCUCUAUCUCUAUGCAGCCCGUCAAGAUAUCCCUGAUAUAAUCAAUGAAAUCCUCACCUUCAAAGUGAACUAUGGAAGCUUCUCCUGUGUAAAAAACGGAGCCAGUCUCAAUGGUACUUCAGGAGAAGGAGUUUGCAAAGCAACACAUGGAACUAGUGCUUUGGAUUACUCAAGUUACCAUGAACACCUCCAUCGGCAGCGGGUCUCAUUUGAGCAAGUAAAGCGGAUAAUGGAGCAGCUAGAGUAUAUAGAAGCACUUUACCCAUCUCUGCAGGCUCUUCAAAAGGACUAUGAAAAGUAUGCUGCGAAGGACUUCCAGGACAGAGUGCAGGCACUCUGUCUAUGGUUAAAUAUUACAAAAGACUUAAAUCAAAAACUAAGGAUUAUGGGAACUGUUUUGGGCAUCAAAAAUCUUUCUGACAUUGGCUGGCCAGUGUUUGAAAUCCCUUCUCCUUUACCAUCUAAGGACAAUGACCCAGAGGAUGAAGAAGUUGAUAGGGAAACAGAAGUAAAGGAAUCCUCAGGAACAUGCACAGAGGAGAGUGAUGGUGAUGAACAAAUCUCUGAGGAGAAUGUUGAGGAACUUAGACAAGCCAUCAAGAACAAUUUUACUAAUAAGCCAAAUUUUGACUUUCAGGACCAUUUUUCAAGGAGGCUUGAUAGGCUUGAAUCUGAGGAUGACUCCACCUCUUGGGUUAUUCCAGAAUGCAGUGCUGAGGCAAGCUGCAGCCAACACUGUUUGACCUCUAUUUACAGGCCAUUUGUAGAUAAAGCACUGAAGCAAAUGGGGUUGAGGAAGCUAAUUUUAAGACUGCACAAGCUAAUGCAUGGCUCAUUGCAAAGGGCCCGAAUGGCGUUGGUAAGGAGUGAUCACCAGCUGGAGUUUUCAGAAUUUCCAGAUCCCAUGUUGUGUUCAGAUUAUGUGCAGUUAUUAAAUUCCCCACCUUGUUGUGAGCAAAAAUGCAGCACUGUGUCGUGGGAGGAGCUGAAAUCCAUGGACUUACCGUCUUUUGAACCUGCAUUCUUGGUCCUUUGCCGAGUCCUGCUCAAUGUUAUCCAUGAAUGUCUCAAGCUAAGGUUGGAACAAAGACCUGCUGGGGAACCAUCUCUUUUGAGUAUUAAACAGCUAGUGAGAGAGUGUAAAGAGGUUCUGAAGGGCGGCCUGUUAAUGAAGCAAUAUUACCAGUUUAUGUUACGGGAGGUGUUAGAUGACUUACAAAAGAUUGAUUACAACAUUGAUCCUUUUGAAGAGGACCUGCAUAAAAUGUUAAUGGUUUACUUUGAUUAUAUGCGAAGCUGGAUCCAAAUGCUACAGCAGUUACCUCAAGCGUCUCAUAGUUUAAAAAAUCUUUUGGAGGAAGAAUGGAAUUUCACCAAAGAAAUAACUCCUUAUAUAAGAGGAGGUGAAGCUCAAGCUGGCAAACUGUUCUGUGAUAUUGCAGGAAUGCUGCUGAAAUCUACAGGAAUGUUUUUAGAUUCUGGACUACAGGACAGUUGUGAUGAAUUUUGGGCCAGUGCCGAUGACAGUACUGCAUCAGAUGAAAUCAGGAGGUCUGUUAUAGAGACCAGCCGAGCACUCAAAGAGCUGUUUCAUGAAGCUAGGGAGCGAGCCUCCAAAGCUCUUGGAUUUGCUAAAAUGCUGAGGAAAGACCUUGAAAUAGCAGCAGAAUUUGCGUUGUCAGCCCCUGUACGAGAUCUUCUGAAUGCUCUGAAAACGAAAGAGUAUGUGAAGGUACAAAUUCUUGGACUUGAGAAUUUACAAGUAUUUGUACCAAAUAGUAUCGCAGGGGAAAAGUCUCUGAUUUUGCAGCUCCUCAAUGCAGCUGCUGGAAAGGAUUGCUCAAAGGAUUCAGAUGAGGUUGCAUAUGAGGCCUAUUUAGUAAUGACCAAACACGGUGAUAAAGACCAUGAAUCAGAUGACAGCUGGAGUGCAUGGGAGGGUCAGCCAGUCAAAGUAGUGCCACAAGUAGAAACUGUUGACACACUGCGCACAAUGCCGGUUGAUAACCUCCUCCUUGUAGUCAUUCAGUCUGCUCACCUUGUGAGUCAGAGAAAAGCUUUCCAGCAGUCUAUUGAAGGGCUCAUCUCUCUGCACCAGGAACAGACAUCUAGCCAACCGGUCAUCGCCAAAGCUCUACAACAGCUAAAAAGUGAUGCAUUACAGCUAUGCAAUAAGAUAAGCAGUGCCAUUGACAGAGUUGAUCACAUGUUCACAUCUGAGUUUGAUGCUGAAGUUGAUGAAUCUGAAUCUGCCACUUUGCAGCAAUACUACCGGGAAGCCAUGAUACAGGGUUAUAAUUUUGGGUUUGAGUACCAUAAAGAAGUUGUUCGUCUGAUGUCUGGAGAAUUCAGGCAGAAAAUUGGAGACAAGUAUAUCAGCUUUGCCAGGAAAUGGAUGAAUUAUGUGCUAACAAAAUGUGAGAGUGGCCGGGGCACUCGACCCAGGUGGGCAACUCAAGGUUUUGAUUUUCUUCAAGCCAUUGAGCCAGCAUUUAUUUCAGCUCUCCCAGAAGAUGACUUCUUGAGUUUACAAGCUCUGAUGAAUGAGUGCAUUGGUCAUGUUAUUGGAAAACCUCACAGUCCUGUUACAGGUUUGUACCUUGCAAUUCAUCGAAACAGUCCCCGUCCUGUAAAAGUACCUCGGUGCCAUAGUGAUCCACCAAAUCCUCAUCUUAUCAUCCCUACUCCUGAAGGCUUCAGCACACGGAGUGUCCCUUGUGAUGCACGGAACCAUUGCAGCGUUGCUGUCAGUCGCCCCGCUCCCAUCGGUAGCGACUCAGCUCAACCCAAACCUGUCAGCAGUGCAAAUGAUACCAGGGGUUCCAGUGUCCCUGAAAAUGAUCGACUGGCUUCAAUAGCAGCUGAGUUGCAGUUCAGAUCCCUUAGUCGUCACUCCAGUCCCACUGAAGAGCGAGAAGAACCAUCGUAUCCAAAAGGAGAUUCGAGUGGCUUAUCCCGGAGGAGUUGGGAGCUCAGAACGUUAAUUAACCAGACCAAAGACACUGCUUCCAAGCAAGCACCGAUUGAAGCUGUUCAAAAGUCUGUUCGAUUGUUUGAAGAAAGGAGAUACAGAGAGAUGAGGAGGAAGAACAUCAUUGGCCAAGUUUGUGACACACCAAAAUCUUAUGAUAAUGUCAUGCAUGUAGGUUUGAGAAAAGUGACUUUCAAGUGGCAGAGAGGAAACAAAAUUGGUGAAGGCCAGUAUGGGAAGGUCUAUACCUGUAUCAGUGUUGACACUGGAGAGCUGAUGGCUAUGAAGGAAAUAAGAUUUCAGCCUAAUGAUCACAAAACCAUCAAAGAAACAGCUGAUGAACUGAAGAUUUUUGAAGGCAUCAAACACCCUAAUCUGGUUCGUUAUUUUGGUGUGGAGCUCCAUAGGGAAGAAAUGUACAUCUUCAUGGAGUACUGUGAUGAGGGCACUCUGGAGGAGGUAUCAAAACUGGGCCUUCAGGAGCAUGUCAUUAGGCUCUACUCAAAGCAAAUCACGGUUGCUAUCAAUGUACUACAUGAACAUGGUAUUGUUCAUCGAGACAUUAAAGGGUUUUGAAUCACCGCAGCAGUGUAGGAGGUUCCCAGUUGCUCUUGGUCCUUUGGCCUCGUGCUUCUCAUUUGGGAAAAGAACUAUCUACGAUCCAGAGGCCUCCCACCCAGGAGCCAACAUCUUUCUUAC